rnacentral:rRNA from 1 species
CCCUACGGGGGGCAGCAGUAGGGAAUUUUCGGCAAUGGGGGGAACCCUGACCCAGCAACGCCGCGUGAAGGAAGAAGGAAUUCGUAUUGUAAACUUCUGUUCUAUAGGAGGAAAGACGGAUGGAGGAAAUGUCAUUCGAGUGACGGUACUUUAUGAGAAAGCCACGGCUAACUACGUGCCAGCAGCCGCAGUAAUACGUAGGUGGCAAGCGUUAUCCGGAAUUAUUGGGCGUAAAGAGGGAGUAGGCGGCUGCAUAGGU